rnacentral:rRNA from 1 species
UCAACUGUCGACUGUGGCAUAGACGCCCACAGUGGUUUUGACGGGUAACGGGGAAUCAGGGUUCGAUUCCGGAGAGGGAGCCUUAAAAACGGCUACCACAUCUAAGGAAGGCAGCAGGCACGCAAAUUACCCAAUGACCGAAGGUCGAGGUAGUGACGAAAAAUAACGAUAGAGGACUCAUCCGAGGCCCUCUAAUUGGAAUGAGUACACUUUAAAACCGUCCCCGAGGAUCUAUUGGAGGGCAAGUCUAGUGCCAGCAGCCGCGGUAAUUCCAGCUCCAAUAGCGUAUAUUAAAGUUGUUGUGGUUAAAAAGCUCGUAGUUGGAUCUCAACAGCCUUGAAGCGGUUAACUUUGUAGUUUUACUGCUUUAUAGGCUGUGCUUUUGCUGGAGGUUUAGGGGUGCUCUUGAUCGAGUGUCUCUGGAUGCCAGCAGGUUUACUUUGAAAAAAUUAGAGUGCUCAAAGCAGGCUAAAAUGCCUGAAUAUUCGUGCAUGGAAUAAUAGAAUAGGAUGUCGAUCCUAUUUUGUUGGUUUUCGGGACUCGACAUAAUGAUAAAUAGGGACAGUCGGGGGCAUUUGUAUUCAAACGACAGAGGUGAAAUUCUUGGACCGUUUGAAGGCAAACUACUGCGAAAGCAUUUGCCAAGAAUGUUUUCAUUAAUCAAGAACGAAAGUUAGAGGUUCGAAGGCGAUUAGAUACCGCCCUAGUUCUAACCAUAAACGAUGCCAGCUAGCGAUCUGCCUGCGUUUUUACUGUAGACUGGGCAGGAAGCUUCCGGGAAACCAAAGCAUUUGGGUUCCAGGGGAAGUAUGGUUGCAAAGCUGAAACUUAAAGGAAUUGACGGAAGGGCACCACCAGGAGUGGAGCCUGUGGCUUAAUUUGACUCAACACGGGAAAUCUCACCAGGCCCGGACACUGGAAGGAUUGACAGAUUGAUAGCUCUUUCUUGAUUCGGUGGGUGGUGGUGCAUGCCCGUUCUU